rnacentral:lncRNA from 1 species
UUAGUCAUAUGCAAACAAAACCAAAUCCUUUUAUCAGCACCUGAAUAUUGUGAAAUAACAUCAGUGAUUGAUAUUGUAGCUCUGGGAACCAAUGUACUGUGAUGGCAGGGAGGACCUGGCAGUGCAAAUACUUAAAAGUCUUGUGUUUGAGCAAUGUCAUGUAAGUUAAAGCAAUGCCAUGACUUUGUGUAAGUAAUGCAAGCCUUUGGUGUCCUGUGAGACUUCUCUACCACCUCAUCAACUGAGGCAUCCAACUGAUAACUAAGAUGUAAUAUUUUUGCAAUUAUGCUGAUAUUUAUUGGUAUAUAGUAAUUCUAGUAGGUGGAAAAUCUACUUGUUAAUGUGCAAAGAUGAGUUUACCUUGAAAGAUCAAAACUAUUCUUUUUUAUCUUCUUUGCUUAUACUACCAAGCCAUGAAAUUGUCAUACACUUUAAUAAACUUGUAAUUUAUUUUAAAAAGGAAAAAAAAAAGUUUUAUAAAUACAUAAACAAGAAAAGGAGGACUGAGAAGAAUCUCAAUCAUUUCUUGGUUUUGUGGGGAAACAUAGUGACAAUAAAUGGGGAAAAGACUGGAGCGCUUGGUCUUUAGCAGCAAGACCUUUUGUUCUCUGGGUACUCAGCUGCCUGAAUUUAUAGAUGAGAGCUUUCUUCUGCUCCUAGGCCCUUAUAAUCCACAAGGAAAUGGUUAGACCACUUAGAUGUGCACAAGUUUAUGGGGCCAGAUGUGGUCUACCUGAGGGUAACUGAGCAUUUGUCUUUCAUGUGUCAGCUUUCCAUCAUGUGUCAGCUGUCCUGUUUAUCAGGAUAUCCCAGUCAACUGUCAGCUAGCAUAUGUGACACCCAUCUAUAAGAAAGUUUCCCAGAUCCUCCUUCCAGCCUAUAGGCCUGUCAGUCUGACCUGGGGAACUUCAUGGAGCAGACUGAGUGACAUCACACAGCAUUUACAGGAGAACCAGGGCUUCUCUUUGAGAAGCUUGCUGGACAGAUAUAUGCUUCAUUGGGUUAAAAAUCAGCUGUAUGCCUGGGCCCAAGGAGUUGGGAUGAGUGGAGUUAAAUCCAGUUGGAGGCCGUCACAAGUGGUAUCUCCCAUGGCUCC